rnacentral:lncRNA from 1 species
UUUUAAAACUAGAUGUAACCAAAUCGUAGGCGGUUAGCCAAGAAAAUAUCAAAGUUGAAACAAUAAAUAUUUUGGCAUGAACAAAGUGACCGGAAAUUAUGCUCUCCGCCGUGAUCCGAGGCCGCCUCCUUGCCGGACGAUUGCAAGACGAUGGAAUAUUGAACGAGUAAUUUCAACUUUAAAGUAGUCUCUUAAGGACGGUUCUGAUUUUAGGGUUUCUCAGCAGGACGACGUCGUUAACACGGAAAACUCAGUUUUAGGUUUCCAGUUACAACUACGAUGACACAUACGGACGGUUUAAUAUUGCUGUUCUUUUGGCCAAUCUGCAUGAGUGUUUGUUCUAUAUAAAUGAUGUUUACAAUUGGAGCGAGAGGAAAUCAGACGACCAGCCUGAUGCGAAAAACAACGAACAUGUCGGUAUAAGAAGAUCAUCAAAUCUGGAAAAAUAAUACAAAAAACCCAUAAAAUCUUAAACAAUAAGAAAACUACCUGCAAAUGGCGGCAACGACAUAUCUGAGACCAUAGCGACAACGACAAGAAGCAUGAUGGCUGAGUUAUGGAUACAAGAGCCUACAAUUAUGGUGAAUACAAGAGAAAAUUAAAUAGAACCCGGUAUACACACACGCACACACACACAAACGUCCCAAGGGUAUAAAUUACCUAUGGUGUCAACAAGGUUUUCUGGGUUUCUUCAUCAUUGAUUGGCUAUGGUUGACAGUUAAAUACGUCCUUAAGUAUAUUAAGGGUAUUGAUAUUCGUGUAUUGAUCAUAUCAUGCUCAUGUUCUACUGCACUUCAUGGAUAUGGAUAUGGUGAUGUUGAUUUGUUAGGUUGCAUCAAUGAUCGUCGAUUACACCUCAAGAUUGAUUUACACUUUAUUAAAGACAUGGUAUUAACAUAUAUCCUUAAGGUCAGUUAUGUUCGCCACUAAUAAAGUUGUGGAUACUCUCACAGAUGGGGAUGUCUUCUACUAAGUAUGUAUGCCUUCAGUUCAAGACGUACAUCGAUCUCAUCAUUCAACUUGCAGUGGACGUUAAAAUAGUAUAAUUUCUUUUGCUUUUAAAAGUAACUAGUUUGUUACUAGUGGUAGUUAGCCUAAAUAAUAGGACAUUUCAUAUUUUGAAGAAAGUUUAUGGUAAUCUAUUUUUUCCUUUCGAGCCAUUGGGUACUCCAUUUUGGCUUCGGGACAAGCAUCUAGGAUGGAGCGUUUUGGGUGCUCCCAAUUGGGGAACGGUGUUCCUGCAAUUCUGACCCCACCAAUCCCGAUCUUUUCUCUUGCCCUAAAGGGCCAAUCUUAUUCUGGUCAACAUAAAUUUCCCGUCCAUCCUAAUCUCCAGUCUGACACUCACCUCCGUAGAUAUCCAUCCUAAUCUCCCCUCCCUCCAUAUGACCUCUUAACCUUAGAAAUUUUUUUAAAUUAACCAACUUUAGCUUUAAACAAUCAUCUAACAAUCCACACAACUUAACCUAUUCGUCAAUAAAUUGUUUGAAGUAACUAAUUUCAAACAAUCAUCUAACAAUCCACACCACUUAAUUCAUUUAAACUUCUUCCCAUUUGCUCAAUUGCAAAAGAAAGCAGGCCAUAACUACCCUAUGUUUCUUUGAAGAUG